GGCAUCAUGUCCGAGCGGUCCACUGAGGUGUGUGACUCAAGUUCUCAUCUGUAUAUGCAGGCAGGGGUUCGAACCCCCUCGAUGUCA
rnacentral:tRNA from 1 species